rnacentral:lncRNA from 1 species
UCAGUGUAGAAAGCCCAGGCAUUGUCCCAUAGCUGGCCCUGUGUGUUUGCACUGAUUCCUCAGAAUAAGUUUGCAGAUAGCUUAACUUCCAGAAUUCCUGAGUUUCACUAGUCCCCCUUCUUUAUGAUGAAUUGGAAAAAGGGUAUAUUCUGGGAUAAAGCAAGAGGAAACUGGGUGCAGCAAAGAUCCCUAGACCAUUUUUCCCAGUGGCCCAUUGCUCCUGCUGCUUUUUUCAUACCAGCUGAAUCUCCCUAAACCCCACGUCUGCGGCAAAGUCUUCGUGGUGAAACAGGCAGUCUUCAGUACAAGAAGCGUCAAUCUCAGAUCUUACUCAUUUCCAACCUGUACCAAUCAAAGGCCCUCCCAGCCAAGAUAAAAGCAAAGUCUCCCUCCUCCAGAGCACAUGGGAAUGGCCCCCCAGUAGCUGGGGCAUGCAAGCUAAUGAAGUUUCAUCUUCCACCUCUAUCCAAAUAUGACCUUGCUGAUACCAUCUCCUAUUAGAUGACAAAUCCGGAUGUUUCUAUUGCAUGGUUGUUAUUUGCCACAUGCUUCCUGGACAAGUUUCUAGCCAGCUGCCAUGUGUCAGGACACUCAGGCAGCCUGUGGAAAGCUGCACAUGGUGAGGAACAGAGGGCUCCAGUCAAACGACCAAUGCCAACAACCAU